UACGUAGGGGGCGAGCGUUGUCCGGAGUUACUGGGCGUAAAGGGCACGCAGGCGUCAGCCGCGUUUUCGGGUGACAGCGGAGGGCUUAACUCUCCGAGUGGUCGAAAGACGGGCCGACUUGAGGGCCAGAGAGGGACACGGAAUUCCGGGUGGAGUGGUGAAAUGCGUAGAGAUCCGGAGGAACACCGAAAGCGAAGGCAGUGUCCUGGCUGGGUGACUGACGCUG
rnacentral:rRNA from 1 species